rnacentral:rRNA from 1 species
GACGAACGCUGGCGGCGUGCCUAAUACAUGCAAGUCGAGCGGGGAUUAUGCUUGAUCGCUUCGGUGAGACGGCAUAUAUCCUAGCGGCGGACGGGUGAGUAACGCGUGGGUAAUCUACCUCGUAGUUCGGGAUAACAGGCCGAAAGGCUUGCUAAUACCGGAUGAGUUCAUGCUUAUGCAUAUAGGCAUGAAGAAAGGGUUAGCCCGCUAUGAGAUGAGCCCGCGUCCCAUUAGCUUGUUGGUGGGGUAAUGGCCUACCAAGGCAACGAUGGGUAGCCGGCCUGAGAGGGUGUACGGCCACACUGGGACUGAGACACGGCCCAGACUCCUACGGGGGCAGCAGUAGGGAAUUUUGGACAAUGGGCGCAAGCCUGAUCCAGCAAUGCCGCGUGCAGGAUGAAGGCCUUCGGUUGUAAACUGCUUUGUACGGAGCGAAAAGCUCUCUCUAAUACAGGGGCUCAUGACGGUACCGUAAGAAUAAGCACCGG